GUGUGGCGUGAGCUGCGGGUCUGCAGGGGCCGGGCAGGGUGAGAGGAACCAAGGAUGAGCACCCCCCCUCCCCUUUGCUUGUCACUGCCCAUAUCCAGGCCUGGGAAGGUCCUGCCAGCCAGCGACACCCACACAGAUUACAGACUCCCACACAGAUUACAGACUCCUGGCAUGGCCACAAGAGAGUUCCCCAGUCUCUGCUGGCCUUGGCCUCCCUGGGACACCCGGCAGGCUUCCGAAGAACAACACAAAUUUGUCACCGAGGGUGAUUGAGAAAACUAUCCCGAACUCCUCAAAGCCAGCUGGACCCGGAUUUGAGACGACCUGCCCAGUGCCCACAACACACAUGUUAAGUCUGAUGUGACACACAUGUGCCAGGCCUCAGCCCCUCCUUGCAAGGCACAUGCUGCCACACAGCCAGCCAGCCUCCCCCAGGAGCCUCUGAGUGACGGCAGCCACUUCUCUGAAGCUGUAGCUGAGGCUGAUAUCUGGCUGGGGGUGGGGGAGGAUGUCACAGGACAGCUUGAUGGCUCUCUCCGUGGGGGAGGGGGAGUCAGGAUGAUUUCAACCGUACUUUAAGAGCCUACUUUUGGCUGAAACCUGGGGAUGUCACUCAGGGCCACAGCCCCUGACAUUCUGCCUUAGUCCCUGGGCAAGAAAUCUGGUUGUUGUACAGAAGCUGGUACAAGGAGUGAGAUAAUGAAUCCGAUCUACAUCAUUCCAUGUUAUGUGCAUUAUAUACAUAUAUGUAUUACAUAUACAUAUACUGUCAAGAAAUAAUCAUGUUGCCCAAUUAUAUUUUUUUGUAAAACAAAUUGUCUAUUUUUAACAACAAAUCACUCAAAACCAUUAACACUGGUUAUCUCAGGGUUGACAGUUUUCUUUUUUCACUUUAUAGAUUUCUCUACAAAACGGUGUGAAUAGAUUCCUUUUAUAAUUUAAAAAAAGACAACAAUAAAAUAUCUCUAAAAAGGAA